CUAUCUCCCUCUCUCUUUGCUCCGCCUGUGGUCUUUCUCUCUCUCAAAAUAAAUAGAUAAACUUAAAAAAAAAUAAAAUAUGAGAUUAGAUAGAUAGAUACCUACGUAAUACCCCCCUCCCUUAUCUUCAGGACCACUGUUGGCCCACCAUUGCUGCUUAAUCGAUAGUAGCCGUAUUAGUACUUAUUCUGGCAACUGCCGUGGGCAGAGGCUGGGGACGCCAGUCAGGGAGCUCAGUGCAGAUGUGUUCUGGUGCGAGUAUAUGCAGGCUCGGGCCCAUAUGAGCAGGACGGGUCAAGUCCUUCUGGUUUCUCACAUGAGGACUUGUUCCUGAUGGUAGCCAAAUGGAGUGUUGCCCCCAGAGAAGCUCCCUGGCUCUGACACCCUGGCAUGUUCUCCUCCUUUGCUGGUCCUUGCUGGCCCCUGUGUCCCCAUCUGCUCGUGGGGCUCGCACUGCCUUUCCUGGGGUGGCCGCGAGGAUUAAAUAGGAGCCGCGUGAGACCCGGCGCACCUUCCCUCAAGGGUUCCGUAGAGCAGCCCCAUCAGAAGCCCUCAGAAGCCCUUGAGUUCUGAGGUGUCCAGGGAGACGUGUACCUCUCCAUCCUCCAGGUCCUUUCCUGGAAAUGCAGAUGUGGUGGCACCGGACCAGAGAUGGACCGGGAGCCUUCCUAAGCUGGGUGUAUGACACAGUCUUGAUUUCCUGAUCUGUACAAUGGACACCAUAGCUCCUACUACAGGUUAUCAUGAGGCUUAUGUGAGCUGGAGGCAGAAGGAGCCUGGAAGAGAGGAGCAGGCUAUGCAUUUUUGGCACGAAAACCACAGGAGUGAUGUUAUGUCUUUCCCAGUGCCUCAUAUCCAGAGGCACACUGUCUACUCGUUCCCGCACUCGUGACGCCGACUUGAUCCGUUUGGGUUUAGAUUUCAAGGCUUCUCUUCUUCCUGUUGCUCCAUGUAACCCACAUUCUGAUUUCUGUCCACUGAGCUCAAACUGUCAGAAGCGAUAUUGCUGUCAAAGCAGUGGCAACUUACAUUAAAUGCUAUUACAACUCAAGAUGUUGCCUUCACACUGUGAGUUUACUUGAGGGAAAACACCAGUUCUGAAUUUCCAGUGUUUUUGUAUCUUACACAGAGAAAAACCCAAGAUGAAGUUCAUUGAGUGAAUAAAUAAAUAAAAUAAUGAACAAAUGAAUGAAUGAGAUUCUCAGUUCAGUUUUCUCCUUAAGGGCAGGAAAAUAUACCUUAUUUAUCCCUUUGUCUUCUGUAAAAAGCAGGUGCUCAAUUCAAUGUGAGUGAAUAAAACUUAAUCCUCUGGUGGAUAUGUCCUUACUUAGGGGAGGAAGGAAAAAAUGGCUGUUUUAUCUAAACAAAAAAUUUUUUGCAGCCCUUCCUUUUUCUUUUCUAAAUAAAGGUGUUUCUACUUUGAUCCGGAGUGUGUAAAAAUAAACGAUUUUCUCUCUUUGGUUA